rnacentral:rRNA from 1 species
GACGAACGCUGGCGGCGUGCUUAACACAUGCAAGUCGAACGGAAAGGCCCCCUUGUGGGGUACUCGUGUGGCGAACGGGUGAGUAACACGUGAGUAACCUACCCUUGCCUUUGGGAUAACUUCAGGGAACUGGGGCUAAUACCGGAUCGGCGCUCCUGCUGCAUGGUGGGGGUUGGAAAGUUUCGGCGGUUGGGGAUGGACCCGCGGCUUAUCAGCUUGUUGGUGGGGUAGUGGCUCACCAAGGCUUUGACGGGUAGCCGGCCUGAGAGGGUGACCGGCCACAUUGGGACUGAGAUACGGCCCAGACUCCUACGGGAGGCAGCAGUGGGGAAUAUUGCACAAUGGGCGGAAGCCUGAUGCAGCAACGCCGCGUGCGGGAUGACGGCCUUCGGGUUGUAAACCGCUUUCGCCUGUGACGAAGCGGGAGGGACGGUAAUGGGUAAAGAAGCACCGGCUAACUACGGG